rnacentral:misc_RNA from 1 species
GAAGCGGAAAAGGUGCUGCACUGGUUGCUGCUGUAGCAACAAGACUCCUGGACAAAAAACAAGUUGCUGAGUGAGGAGGCUGUACAAUAUAGAACCUGAGGAGGAAGAAUCUUGCGAUUGUAAGAUCACGUGACGUUCUAGAUGAAAUCACGUGACUGUACUCUUCUAUUCAUCUAUAUUGUUUGCCAAAGUUUGGAAAAUAUGGGUUUUGUUUUUUUUAUGCUAAUCUUAGAUCUAUAUUAGCCAUCCGCAUAAUGAUAUUGCGCCAGGUUGACGAACGCUGGCUAAAAACUAUACACAUGUACAUAGGUAUCUGCAGGUAAAUGCAAUUUUGUUGCGAUGUAUAUUAAUGAAAGGUAUCCUUGUGUUGUAAACGUAUGCUACUAAAAUGAAGUCUGUUGUGUUGAGAUUUUUAUCAAUGAAGUGGACGAGCUUAUUUUUUUCAUUGAUAUGUUUUACUGGACACAUACUCGAAAAUGGUUUGAUUUAAAAAGAUACUUUUUACAGCGGAACAGUACAGCAUUAAUUAACUCAUAAGAGUUUCUUAUUGUCAAUCGUUAAAAGCAACUUUUUGUUACAUACUCAUUAUUGUAAAUGCAUUUACCUUAUAAACAGUAUUUAUAUUAUAAUCCUUGUGCAGUUCUGCAAACUUGUUUUCCGGUAAUUGCUGAUAUAUUAUGCUUUUUGUUAUGAAAUAUGGAAUUGUUAUUAUUAAAAUUAAAAGAAAAA